AUGAUGGUGAUGGGCUACUUCCGCGCGCCCAGGAUCGGCGGCAGGAGGAAGGAGAAGAAGAGCAAGGCCGGCGCGGCGCCGCAGGCCGAGGAGGCGGGGCUCCGGGAGGCGCUGCUGGAGCCGGCCGGCGGCGUGCUCCCCAAGGGGUACUUCGCGGUGUACGUCGGGGAGGAGGCGCGCCGGUUCGUGGUGCCCACGGGGUACCUGCGGGAGCCGGCGUUCCGGGACCUCAUGGAGCGCGCCGCCGACGAGUUCGGCUUCGCGCAGGCCGACGGGCUGCGCGUGCCCUGCGUCGAGGAGGACUUCGAGGAGCUGCUCCGCCGGCUCCACCGCAAGAACGGCUCAGGAAGCGGCAAGGGGAAGAACUAA
rnacentral:rRNA from 1 species